rnacentral:rRNA from 1 species
GGGGAAUAUUGGACAAUGGGCGAAAGCCUGAUCCAGCCAUGCCGCGUGUGUGAAGAAGGCCUUUUGGUUGUAAAGCACUUUAAGCGGGGAGGAGGCUCUUCUAGUUAAUACCUAGGAUGAGUGGACGUUACCCGUAGAAUAAGCACCGGCUAACUCUGUGCCAGCAGCCGCGGUAAUACAGAGGGUGCGAGCGUUAAUCGGAUUUACUGGGCGUAAAGCGUACGUAGGCGGCUUUUUAAGUCGGAUGUGAAAUCCCUGAGCUUAACUUAGGAAUUGCAUUCGAUACUGGGAAGCUAGAGUAUGGGAGAGGAUGGUAGAAUUCCAGGUGUAGCGGUGAAAUGCGUAGAGAUCUGGAGGAAUACCGAUGGCGAAGGCAGCCAUCUGGCCUAAUACUGACGCUGAGGUACGAAAGCAUGGGGAGCAAAC